rnacentral:rRNA from 1 species
UACGGGGGGGGCAAGCGUUGUUCGGAAUUACUGGGCGUAAAGAGCGUGUAGGCGGCCUGAAAGGUCAGCUGUGAAAACUCGAGGCUCAACCUCGAGACGUCGGUUGAAACCAUCUGGCUAGAGUCCGGAAGAGGAGUGUGGAAUUCCCGGUGUAGCGGUGAAAUGCGCAGAUAUCGGGAAGAACACCCGUGGCGAAGGCGGCACUCUGGGACGGUACUGACGCUGAGACGCGAAAGCGUGGGGAGCGAACAGG